CUGAGGUGGUGACAGACCCUGUGCUGCUUUGUACCCGCUCCUGAACGCCCGCCCUCCCCACCGACAUGUCCUGCCAGCAGAACCAGCAGCAGUGCCAGUGCCCUCCCAAGUGUCCGUGCCCUGCCCCAAAAUGCCCCCCUAAGUGUCCCCCAAAAUGCCCCCCAAAGUGCCCUCCAGUCUCCUCCUGCUGCAGUGUCAGCUCUGGGGGCUGCUGCAGCUCUGGGCACGGGGGCUGCUGCAGCUCUGGGCACGGGGGCUGCUGCAGCUCUGGGCACGGGGGCUGCUGCCUGAGCCACCACAGGCGCCACAGGUCCCACCGCAACAGACACCGGAGCUCUGACUGCUGCCAGCCUUCAGGGGGCUCCAGCUGCUGUGGUGGGGGGAGCUCCAGCUGCUGCGGAGGGGGCAGUGGUCAGGCCUCUGGAGGCUCGUGCUGCUGAAGUGGACCCUGUCCUCUCCCCUGAGCUCCCUAAAUUACAAAGAGGUCGCCACAAAACUUGAGCUCUGCCCCAGAAGAUCCAUCAAUCCUGGUAUCCAGAGCCCAAAACGUCUCUCUAAAACCCAAUUACUGACCUCCUUCCCUAAACCUGGCUACCCUGGGAAUCCCAAAGCACAGAACCCACGCCCCCUGUAGCUUAUGUUAUUGUA